rnacentral:lncRNA from 1 species
UCUCUCUCUUCCCGGUUCUCACUUUCUCAUUUCUCUUUCUAUUUCAAAUUCUGAAACAUAAGAUCAAAGACAAUUUUCUAGGGUUUCUUUUAAAUUAAUUUAUUGAAGGUUAUAAUGAUGAUUGGAGUGGAUAAACAAUUCGUACGAAUGUCGUUUGGAGAGUAAGUUGCAGGUGGUUUAAGCUUUGAUUGAAUAUGAGAUCAACAUUUAGGAUUUUGUUGUCUCUGAAAAGGCGACAAAAGUUAAGGAGAUCGUCGACAAGGUGUAAGAGGGGCAUCAUUGGAACUAGUAAGAAACCUAACAAAAGUAUGUUUGACGUUAGCAAAACAAACUAAAAAUCUUCACUUGGUUUGUCUGUUAGAAAUUUGGUGUCCUUUUUUAUGUAACUUAAUUUGGGGAAAUUGUGUAGGUGUGAUGGAUAUACUGUGUAGGUAUUUUGUUGUACAUGAACUAUGGUGGUUGACAAGAAAUAUGGUGUCCUUUUGCUUGUGCAACUUAAUUUGAUCGUUUUUUUAGUUGGUUACAUGUGUUACCCGGUUUUCCAGGUAACAUGUGUAACAUAU